ACGAUGUGGGAAGGCACAGACAGCCAGGAUGUUGGCUUAGAAGCAGCCAUCAUUUAAAGAAAGCGUAAUAGCUCACUGGUCGAGUCGGCCUGCGCGGAAGAUGUAACGGGGCUAAACCAUGCACCGAAGCUGCGGCAGCGACACGAUGUGUUGUUGGGUAGGGGAGCGUUCUGUAAGCCUGCGAAGGUGGCCUGUGAGGGUUGCUGGAGGUAUCAGAAGUGCGAAUGCUGACAUAAGUAACGAUAAAGCGGGUGAAAAGCCCGCUCGCCGGAAGACCAAGGGUUCCUGUCCAACGUUAAUCGGGGCAGGGUGAGUCGACCCCUAAGGCGAGGCC
rnacentral:rRNA from 1 species